rnacentral:rRNA from 1 species
AGUGAACGCUGGCGGUAGGCCUAACACAUGCAAGUCGAACGGCAGCACAGGAGAGCUUGCUCUCUGGGUGGCGAGUGGCGGACGGGUGGGGAAUACAUCGGAAUCUACUUUUUCGUGGGGGAUAACGUAGGGAAACUUACGCUAAUACCGCAUACGACCUACGGGUGAAAGCAGGGGAUCUUCGGACCUUGCGCGAUUGAAUGAGCCGAUGUCGGAUUAGCUAGUUGGCGGGGUAAAGGCCCACCAAGGCGACGAUCCGUAGCUGGUCUGAGAGGAGGAUCAGCCACACUGGAACUGAGACACGGUCCAGACUCCUACGGGAGGCAGCAGUGGGGAAUAUUGGACAAUGGGCGCAAGCCUGAUCCAGCCAUACCGCGUGGGUGAAGAAGGCCUUCGGGUUGUAAAGCCCUUUUGUUGGGAAAGAAAUCCAGCUGGUUAAUACCCGGUUGGGAUGACGGUACCCAAAGAAUAAGCACCGGCUAACUUCGUGCCAGCAGCCGCCGUAA